AAACCAAUCCAGCUUGCUGGGUCUUGGGCCUUUCGCCUCUGGGCGGGCCCCAAAAUCAGUGGCGGUGCUAUCUAGCUCUAAGCGUAGUAAUUUUCUCGCUAUGGACACUAGGUGGUUACCUGCCAAUAACCCUUAUUUUUCAAA
rnacentral:misc_RNA from 1 species